ACGUUUCUGGACAGAAAGACAGGUGGUGCAUGGUUGUCGUCAGCUCGUGUCGUGAGAUGUUGGGUUAAGUCCCGCAACGAGCGCAACCCCUACGGUUAGUUGCUAACGGGUAAGGCCGAGCACUUUAGCCGAACUGCCGUUGACAAACGGAGGAAGGCGGGGAUGACGUCAAAUCAUCAUGCCCUUUAUGUCCUGGGCUACAAACGUGAUACAAUGGCUGAAACAAAGGGCAGCGAAGCAGUGAUGUGGAGCGAAACCCAAAAAGCAGUCUCAGUUCGGAUUGAAGUCUGCAACUCGACUUCAUGAAGUCGGAAUCGCUAGUAAUCGCGGAUCAGAACGCCGCGGUGAAUACGUUCUCGGGUUU
rnacentral:rRNA from 1 species